GGUGUUGUAGCUCAAUGGUAGAGUGCUUGCCUGGCAUGUGUGAGGCCCUGGGUUCGAUCCUCAGCACCACAU
rfam:Ictidomys tridecemlineatus contig043312, whole genome shotgun sequence.